rnacentral:misc_RNA from 1 species
GUAUAUAUUAUAUAGGCACAACAUUCUAUUAACAUACAUUGGGGUAAAAUGAAGCAACAUAGACCUGAAAGGCCUACAAAAAGUGCACAGGUGGAGAUAUAAAGAUGACAAGGUGUGCACAUGCUCCCUAGAGAGCCAGCAACAACCCGUCAGGUUUAUUUCAAUAAUGAUCCUUCCGCAGGUUCACCUACGGAAA